AAAAUUAAAAAUGGCUGAAAGUUGAAGCAGUCUUAUUUUGUGCAGGUAACCCUUCAAUAAUGUUUAGAGACAUUCUUCCUGUUUGCCCAAGCUGUCUGCUGUAGCAAUGUAUCUGUUUGCAGUUUAAAUUCAGUGUUUUAUGAAUUAGCAAUCAUUAUUGAUCACAUUUACUAUAUUUAGUUCUAUUUUUUGUUUUGUACAACCUAUUGAAUAGAAA